rnacentral:rRNA from 1 species
UACGUGAGGGCGCAAGCGUUGUCCGGAAUUAUUGGGCGUAAAGAGCUCGUAGGCGGUCUGUCGCGUCGGAUGUGAAAGCCCGGGGCUUAACCCCGGGUCUGCAUUCGAUACGGGCAGACUAGAGUGUGGUAGGGGAGAUCGGAAUUCCGUGGUGAGCGGUGAAAUGCGCAGAUAUCAGGAGGAACACCGGUGGCGAAGGCGGAUCUCUGGGCCAUUACUGACGCUGAGGAGCGAAAGCGUGGGGAGCGAACAGG